UUUAGGUUUUCGUUUUAUGUCUGCAGAGUAAAAACUCAGAAGUCUUUAACGGAGAACAACGUAUCUAACAAGCUCUGCUUUCAAGCCAGGAUUUUAUCAAGGUGUGGACGUGAAGCGUGUCGAAAACUGAUCGGCUUCUUUUUCACAUGUGACCAAACACUGACCGUGUACGAGUACCGAAAUGUUGGUAAAACAGAUGGAACGCACUGCCCUUUAUCGCGCGUGGUGUGCAUUUGAACAGAGGGAGGCCGUACUGCCUGCAGACAUCUCACAGGGUGCCGAGCUUCAUUUCUGUACAGACGGCCCACACCUCCCCCAAAGUCUGAGACAGCAGCCGUGCCUGACCCUCAGAGUUACUGAUGUGGAUGAUACAGCCAAGGGAGCCCUGCUAACUCAGUCUGGGGAAACUUUACAUCAUCUCUCUGAAGAGGAAAUCAACGAUCGAAAUGCUCUAAAGGAAAUUCAAGGU